GAAUUUAAACCCCUUCCAGAGUAUCAAUUGGAGGGCAAGUCUGGUGCCAGCAGCCGCGGUAAUUCCAGCUCCAAUAGCGUAUAUUAAACUUGUUGCAGUUAAAAAGCUCGUAGUUGAAUUUCUGCUGUUUCGUUGACUGCGUUUGGCGUUUGUCAUCGUUGCGGCUUGGUUGGGUUUCGAUUAUUCGUUUCCCGGCGUUUACUUUGAGAAAAUUAGAGUGCUUGAAGCAGGCUUUUGCCUUGAAUACUUUAGCAUGGAAUAACGGAGUAGGACUUUGGUUCUAUUUUGUUGGUUUUAGGAGCCAGAGUAAUGGUUAAUAGGAACAGUUGGGGGCAUUUU
rnacentral:rRNA from 1 species